GACGAACGCUGGCGGCGUGCUUAACACAUGCAAGUCGAACGGAAAGGCCCUGCUUUCGUGGGGUGCUCGAGUGGCGAACGGGUGUGUAACACGUGAGUAACCUGCCCUUGACUUUGGGAUAACUUCAGGAAACUGGGGCUAAUACCGGAUAGGAGCUCCUGCUGCAUGGUGGGGGUUGGAAAGUUUCGGCGGUUGGGGAUGGACUCGCGGCUUAUCAGCUUGUUGGUGGGGUAGUGGCUUACCCAGGCUUUGACGGGUAGCCGGCCUGAGAGGGUGACCGGCGACCUUGGGACUGAGAUACGGCCCAGAGUGCUACGGGAGGCAGCAGUGGGGAAUAUUGCACAAUGGGCGGAAGCGUGAUGCAGCAACGCCGCGUGCGGGAUGACGGCCUUCGGGUUGGAAACCGCUUUAGCCUGUGACGAAGCGUGAGUGACGGUAAUGGGUAAAGAAGCACCGGCUAACUACGUG
rnacentral:rRNA from 1 species